UCUCUUAGAACAUUUGAAUUACAAUAUGCUGAAAGAUUAUUAUGGACAAUGAUGCCAAAAAAAUCUGCCUACUGAAGCUUUAAAGUGUGAUUCUUUGUGGAGAAACUCAGUUUCACAGAUUAAAUCAACUGAUAGAUAAAGUCGUACGGGUGUUAGCCGUCUAAGAAUUUUUUUUGGUCGAGGACAGCCCUACAUAAUCAUGAUCCCAUAGGCAUCCAGGAAUUGAGAGAGACUAAGUAAGAAAGUAAGGGUGGGUGGCGGGGGGGCUCCUUUUUCCAAGCGUUGUCUGAGGGGAAACCCACAGUCUCAAACUUUGAAAACCCCUGAGUUAGAGCUUAUAGUGUGGAAAAACUAAGCUAUAGUAGUUUUUAUGACUUGAAACUCCAUCACUCACUACAGCACCAAGCAACAUUGCUGCUUGAUGGAGCUGGUAAACAAACUCAUUAAAUGCAUACUGUUGCUUUGCAGUCUAUAACAAGCUGUUAUACUGUAUGUGUAAUUGAAUCGUUGUGUUUCUUUUUGGUUUACCUGUGUGCCCUUUUGGCGUACCAUAACAGUAGCCAGAUUAACUGCUGUCGGUCCUACCAGUUUGCCAGUUCUGAUAUCUGAGUUCCGCUUCAGAGAGAGAAGAAACGCAAUUCAGGCAAGAAAGUAAAGACAGAGACAAAAUGUGGGUGCUGCAAGAAAACCAAACUCAAGAUGUCAACUUACAAGUUGUGAGAAGGACGUAGAGGAUGAUUUCCUCUUCAGUUUCUUCUUUUCACAGAUGGUUCUUCACUACAAAGGCCCAUUCAAAAACAGGUUCUCAAACGUUUCCGUUAUUUGCCAGCAUUUGCCUACUAUGUAGCAUACACAUUACAACAAAUGAUUUCUGGGUCUCAGUUUGUUAAGGAGUGUGCAAGCCAUUCAAAUUCACACAUUCAUGUAACUUCUUUUAUGGCUUUGGUGGAGAUUUGACCUUACACUGUUGCAUCUGUAUUAACUGCGAAGGGUGCUGCAAAGCUCACAACUGGAGCUGCGAGCCACUUCACUCUGGGCCUUUCCAAGCAGAGAGCCAGUCGUGGUGCACUGUGGCGUACCAUGGCGCAUCGUGGCGCACCAAGGCGUCCUCGCCCUGACCCUCAUUAUAUCAUUAAUGUUUUUGUGUUCAUUAGGAAACUGUGGUGGACUGCAUUUGACUGCAUUUGACUAUGUUAAUGUAGUUGAAAUCAUCACUGCAACUCAGGCCAAUGGAUUUUCUGUCAGAUAGUCUAUAUGAAGAACAAAAAAAAAGAAAUGCUGAAUCUUCAUAUUGAACAUCCAAAUCUGAAUCAAAUUAAAAAAAAUAGGAUACAGCUGAAUAGAACAGAAUAGCUUUUCCUUGCAGCUCAGUGUCUUUCAACAAAAGUCCAUAUACUGUAUGUCCCCUCUCCCUAGUGCUCCAGUGUUAUUCUGAAGUCUUACACAGACUCAAUACUCAACAAAAUGUCAUGGAUGCAAGCUAAGGCAAUCACACACACACAUCACCAAGGCUAAUAUCACUAACAGGCACUCACACAACACACACACACACUUGUGUGUUACUGCACAACUUUGCACCUCAUGCACAGCAGGUCUAUCUCAAUAUGUCCUUUGACAUGUCAUUGCAGGGUAAACACAGGUGUAAUUAAUAACAUUAAAUAUGGCUCUGUUCCAUUUAGGUGUGCCAGGACCCUGGUAUAGUGUAUGCUGGUUCACUGGACUGGCUGAGACAAACUAAAUAGAAUGGGACCAUAAUUAGUUUGAUUAAUUACACCUGUGUUUACCAGCAAACAUAGAAACAUAUUCUAUCUUACCUUGAAAAAAGAACGGACUACAGAGGCCUCGGCUCAGCUUCUAUUUCCCUACUUGAUGCGUACUGAGACCGAAUUUUUAACCGAGUGUAACCGUGAUGUCGAAGCAGAAAACAAUCCAGAUUGUACGGAGUAAUGUUAGGGCGGUCAUUAUGUAUUAAACUGUUAAGUGGGUUGAAACUGCCCAAACUAUUGUUGUUAUAAAUCCUAUUAAAUACUGUCUGCUUUCACA